UUUCUUUUACACCAAGUCUGAGCACGUCUGCACACCUAUCAAAAGUCAGUUGCUUAACUUGCACGAGAAUAGCUUUGCUAUGAUGAGACGCUAGCUAUGAAAAUUAGAUCAAAAGCCAUUCAUCUUUGAUCCGCAUCUGGUAAUCCAUAGCAAAAAAUAAAUUUGCCAAAGAGACAUACUUCUGCAAAGCCAGUAAAAUGUCACCCAAGCUAACACAGGUGGUGGACAAAAUCUGAUUUAGCUGAAGACAAGAGAGAUGGAGAAAUUGAUAAAAUCUUCCACUGCG
rnacentral:misc_RNA from 1 species